GGCUUACUCCUUGGCGCUUAUGCGCUGGUUUGAUAAAGAUUCGCACCUCUAUCAAACCGGGUAACCCCACCCUUGGCAAGGCCUUACUGUCAGAUCAAGUCGGAACUACCACAACUGAUGCAAGGCUAAUUCACUUCCCGCCACCAAACACGAUGCGGAGUUA
rnacentral:sRNA from 1 species